UAGUUGGUGGGGUAAAGGCCUACCAAGGCAACGAUCCGUAGCGGGUCUGAGAGGAUGAUCCGCCACACUGGAACUGAGACACGGUCCAGACUCCUACGGGAGGCAGCAGUGGGGAAUUUUGGACAAUGGGCGCAAGCCUGAUCCAGCCAUGCCGCGUGAGUGAAGAAGGCCUUCGGGUUGUAAAGCUCUUUCGGCCGGGAAGAAAUCGCAUGGGCGAAUACCCUGUGUGGAUGACGGUACCGGCAUAAGAAGCACCGGCUAACUACGUGCCAGCAGCCGCGGUAAUACGUAGGGUGCGAGCGUUAAUCGGAAUUACUGGGCGUAAAGCGUGCGCAGGCGGUUUGGUAAGUCAGAUGUGAAAGCCCCGGGCUCAACCUGGGAACGGCAUUUGAGACUGCCAAGCUGGAGUAUGGCAGAGGGGGGUGGAAUUCCACGUGUAGCAGUGAAAUGCGUAGAGAUGUGGAGGAACACCGAUGGCGAAGGCAGCCCCCUGGGCCAUGACUGACGCUCAUGCACGAAAGCGUGGGGAGCAAACAGGAUUAGAUACCCUGGUAGUCCACGCCCUAAACGAUGUCAACUAGGUGUUGGGAGGGUUAAACCUUUUAG
rnacentral:rRNA from 1 species